GGAUCACAGAGGGUGUUGGUGUGACUGAGGACCAUGCCUUCCCUGGAAAGCUUUGCUCUGGCAAAGUGAAGGAUCCAUUUGGCAUUGUUUGGACCAUUGUUGGCAACAAGAGCACUACUGCUGCUUCUGAGUUUGGGGAUAACAACACCUCUGCGGCCGAGUUUGGGCAGAACAACACCAAUGAAGCUUAGCGGCUUCAAGCCAUCUUGUGUUAUCGGUGCUGUGACCGCUUUUGACUGUCGUUUGGUCUAAUAUUUAAUCUAGUAGCAAGUAUGAAUUAGCUAGUCUGAUUCUGGGUAGAUGUAGUGGCCUUAAUGUUUUGCCAUU
rnacentral:lncRNA from 1 species